UCAGCCAUAUUUUCGUUCAGCCCGUCCUAGCACUCUCAAUCCCAAAUUUCUUGCGGCCCCAUACCCGACCCAAAAUCUGUGUGCAUUCAUCUUCUCCACGCGCAGAGAAGCAAAAUCCAGAAGCGACAAUCUCCAACUAGCAGCGUCAAAGUAAUGAUGGUAGCGCGUGAUUGAUUCUAGACGGCGAGAACAAGUGUAACGGAAAGUAAUGAAAGGCAAGACGUACACUGCAUCUUUUGUGUUUUUCUUCAACGUCGCUCUCAACUCUCGAUAGGCGACAGCACACGAAAACCGUCCUUGGUGGUAUGAGAUUGAGCCACGUCGACGCCAAGGACGGGAAUUUGAUCCCAAGCAUUCAUAUCUUUCCCUUUUCUGGUUUGAGGCCGAAUCUUCGGAAGAGGGUUGUCGAUCCAAAUUUAGAAAGGUUUUUGAAAUUCAAAUAGAAUAGGCCUUUCCCAUCAGGUUUUGGGUGUUUUCCUUCCCAAAAAUCGAACUCUAAAACCCCUUUAUAUAAGCUUUUCCUUUUUUUUAUAGGGGCGGCCGCAGAGAGAAAAAAUACACAAAGAGUUCUUAUUGUUUCUCUUAAUAUAGUCUAAUUAUAGUGAUAUUCUAAGGGAAAUUUUUGGGAGAAAAUUUUCUCUUUUAGCUGAAGUCUCCUCUUUUGUUAUUGAAAAGAGUUUAUAGAGAGAGAUCUCACAAAAAGGAGAAGAAGAUUUUUGGAGGCUGGAAAUUUUGAACUAAAAAAAAUAAUAAAAAAUUUGGGAGUUGUCUUGGGUUUGGAAGUUCUUGACAGAACUGCUUAGAACUGUUAAAAAUAUGCUCGAAAUAUAGCUCCGAAAUAGAAAUUUCUUGGUUCGCUGACGAUUUCUUUGGUCAUCGUUUGCGUGAGAAGUUUUCCUGUGGUGAAGUCGGUCGCCUUCCUAUUCGUCCGUUUGGUUCGCUGCCCUCAACAAGGUAAAUGCCUCGCAAAAAAAUGAAAAUUUUUUUUUCUCUGAUUUAUUAACUAGAUUUCGUAUUCAAUGUGUUGGUUCGUAACUUUCUCUCUGUUGAUUUCGAUAUGUCUUAUAUGAUAUGUUCAGAUAUUAGUUAUCCUUCUUAUCCUAAGUUGUCUAAAAGGGUGAUGAGUGUUCCGUUUUUGAGCCAUCUAAAUGGCCGGAACGUUCGCGUGAUUAUUUCUUUUUGUGUGCUUCUCGUGUCACUGCACUCGCCUUAAGAAUAUACGGUCCACUAGUUAGUCAUUAGCAUUAUUCUCUGCUUAUCAUUAUUCAUGUUUCCAUCAUAUGUUUGGGAAGUAUAGAAUGCAAUUACAGUUGUGUAUUUGGCUACUUUAAAUGUAAAUGGUAUUUUAGAAGUAACAUUCUCAAAUCAGUAUAUUGCAAAUCUGUUCAUGUCCAGUUACGAAUGGGAAUUUCUCUCUUUCUGAUUGUCUCGGAAAUGUGAACUUAUUUCAGAUUUUUAAUUUUUUGGGAGUAUCAGUAAAAGCUUUUGAGGGAGAAGUUGAGUUCCUAGAAACGUGUCGAAGAUAUUGUCUACUUCUUGCUUUCUUUUGCUAUUAAGAAUUGUUAGAAAAACUCUUGAAAUAUUAUGUUCGUUGCCAUGAAACGUCUUCAUAGUUUCCAGCCAACUCCUUUCCAAAUGCUCCCCUGUAAAUUUCCAGUUUGAAUAUGGUAUUAUAGUCCAAGGUCGUUCAAGCUUGACGCUUUUGUUUUUUUUUUCCUUUUAUGGUCUACUGUUUUUGACUAUCAAGAUUUCAUUUUUGUAUUCAUGGUUAACUUGUCCUGACAAAAUUUUUACAUCAUAAAGCAUGCUAGUUUGUAGUUUGUCGCUAUCUUAAAUCAUGAACAAGUUCUUGUUUGAGUUUGAUUGGAACGCAUUCGACUUCGAAAAUGAUUAGUUUUGUUCGGUUUGUGUCUGGGGGGGGGGGACUGACCUCCAAUUGCUCUUGUUCGUAUUUUCUUGGUUUCGCAGUCGCACAAGGAAUAGUUGGGAGGUCGCUCUACUAGCUUUAAUUUGUUCUUGCUAUUUAUGAAUUUUUAGUAGCAAGCACUAGGUAUCCGAUUUGUACAAAAUAUGCUGGAUAAAUAUUAAGUGUGUCGUUUCUUGCUUGCUAAAGUCGGAACGAGUCAUUCGGGAUUGAUAUUGAGCUUCCUGUAUUAUCUGCAAGUGGGUGCAUUUUGAUGAAUCGCCAUGGGGUUAAGAAAUUGUGUCUAUCUUGUCGAGAUUUCUAAAAUUUGUUUAGGUGUUCGUGCUCUAUUAGCAUCCAUGGCCCCUUUCUUUACUGCUUUGAACUUGUGUUUUUUUAAAAACAAAAAAAAAAGUGUUUGAAGAGUAAAAGUUAAGUUCCUAGCCUUUUUUUUUACAGUAACCUAAAUUAUUUAUUCCCAGCCCAUAUUUUCGUUCGGCCCGUCCUAGCACUCUUAGUCCCAAAUUUCUUGCGGCCCAAUUUCAUAACCCCCAAACCCGACCCAAAAUCCCUGCGCAUCAUCUUCUCCACGCGCAGAGAAGCAAAACCCAGAAGCGACAAUCUCCAACUAGCAGCGUCAAAGUAAUGAUAGUAGCGCGUGAUUGAUUCUAGAAGGCGAGAGCAAGUGUAACGUAAAGUAAUGAAAGGCAGACCAGUAAACUGCAACUUUUGUUUUUUUUCCUCAACGUCACUCUCAACUCUCGAUAGGCGACAUCACAUGAAAACCGUCCUUGGUGGUAUGAGAUUGAGCCACAUAGACGCCAAGGACGGGAACUUGAUCCCAGACGUUCAUAUCUUUCCCUUUUCUGGUUUGAGGCCGAAUCUUCGGAAGACAGUUGUCGAUCCAAAUUGGAAAGGUUUUUGAAAUUCAAAUAGAAUAGGCCUUCCCCAUCAGGUUUUGGGUGUUUUCCUCCCUAAAAAUAGAACCCUAAAACCCCUCUAUAUAAGCUUGCUUUUCCUUUUUUUACAAGGGCGGCCGCAGAGAGAAAAAAUACACACAGAGUUCUUAAUGUUUUUCUUGAUAUAGUCUGAUUAUAGUGAUAUUCUAAGGGAAAUUUUUGGGACAAAAUUUUCUCUUUUAGCCGAAGUCUCCUCUUUUCUUAUUGAAAAGAGUUUAUAGAGAGAGAGCUCACAAAAAGGAGAAGAAGAUUUUCGGAGGCUGGAAAUUUUAAACUAAAAAAAAUGAUAAAAAUUUUUGGAGUUGUCUUGGGUUUGGAAGUUCUUGACAGAACUGCUUAGAACUGUUAAAAAUACGCUCGAAAUAUAGCUCCGAAAUAGAAAUUUCUUGGUUCGCUGUCGAUUUCUUUGGUCAUGUUUGCGUGAGAAGUUUUCCUGUGAUGAAGUCGACUGCCUUCCUAUUCGUCCGUUCGGUUCGCUGCCCUCAACAAGAAAAGGCAAACAGGUCCCGAGGUUCAAAGAAUCGAAGAAGAUUGAAGAAAUUGAAUGAUUUGGACAAAAAGUCCAAAUUUUUUAUUUUGGAAAAAAGUUGUAUUUUAUUUGGGUCUAAGCCCUUUUGUAUUAUUAUUAUUUUGCUAGUUUAGGACAGGUGCAAUGGGCCUAAACCCCAAAAAUAAAAGAAAGUGGGUUCAUAUGCCGGUUCAGGCGGAUAGAUAACCCGGAUUUGGACCCAA